AUUGAACGCUGGCGGCAGACCUAACACAUGCAAGUCGAGCGGAUGAAGGGAGCUUGCUCCUGGAUUCAGCGGCGGACGGGUGAGUAAUGCCUAGGAAUCUGCCUGGUAGUGGGGGAUAACGUCCGGAAACGGGCGCUAAUACCGCAUACGUCCUGAGGGAGAAAGUGGGGGAUCUUCGGACCUCACGCUAUCAGAUGAGCCUAGGUCGGAUUAGCUAGUUGGUGGGGUAAAGGCCUACCAAGGCGACGAUCCGUAACUGGUCUGAGAGGAUGAUCAGUCACACUGGAACUGAGACACGGUCCAGACUCCUACGGGAGGCAGCAGUGGGGAAUAUUGGACAAUGGGCGCAAGCCUGAUCCAGCCAUGCCGCGUGUGUGAAGAAGGUCUUCGGAUUUUAAAGCACUUUAAGUUGGGAGGAAGGGCAGUAAGUUAAUACCUUGCUGUUUUGACGUUACCAACAGAAUAAGCACCGGCUAACUUCGUG
rnacentral:rRNA from 1 species